CUGGGAAGCGUACGGGCCUUGAUUUGGGUCUGGUCGGUGGAUUGUUGAAUAUUUUGCACGUCCGUUCAGCUUUCUCAUUAGUUCGUGUGAGAUGUCUUCACAAUAAGUGUGCUCUUCAGAGGCGUCUGAAGUUAGGAGCAGGGGAGAGGUGAAGCAUGUUUGAGCACGUGAGCUGCGGUCCACGUGGGCACUCGGGUUUGAGAGACUGCGCAAUGUGAGUUGUGAUGAUAUGUUUCUUUGUUUUGUUUUAUAUAUCGUUUUUUUUUGUUUCUGACGGAAUUGAACUGUGUUCAAUGUGUAUUUGUGAAUGCUUUUGACCUGAUAUAUGUAAGCAGCAAUAGUAUAGUAUGGUUUUAAGUGCUACAGAUGUGCUGCCUGUGCUUAUAUGUCUUGCAGUUGUUAACGUGGAUUGUUCCAUGAUGUGUAUUUUUCUGUUUUCCUUUUCUCUAUAGUGACUACCGUUGUUUAUUUGGGGUGGUUAAACAUCACUAUUGUUAUUGAGCCACUGAACAGGCAGACUUGGUUUUUGUUGUUGUUUUGUUUUGUUUUGUUUUUCUUUUCCUUAAUACUUUGUGUACCAAUUGACUGAUUCUGAAUUUCCUCAUGUCCAUAAUUGGGCAUUGUUUCUCCUAAGCCUGACU